rnacentral:rRNA from 1 species
UACGGAGGAUGCGAGCGUUAUCCGGAUUUAUUGGGUUUAAAGGGUGCGUAGGCGGGCUGUUAAGUCAGCGGUCAAAUGUCGGGGCUCAACCCCGGCCCGCCGUUGAAACUGGCUGUCUUGAGAUGUCGAGAGGUAUGCGGAAUGCGCAGUGUAGCGGUGAAAUGCAUAGAUAUCGCGCAGAACUCCGAUUGCGAAGGCAGCAUGCCGGCUCCACACUGACGCUGAGGCACGAAAGCGUGGGUAUCGAACAGG